rnacentral:rRNA from 1 species
GGAGGGGCCUGCGUCCCAUCAGCUAGUUGGUAAGGUAAUGGCUUACCAAGGCGAUGACGGGUAGGGGACCUGAGAGGGUGACCCCCCACACUGGCACUGAAACACGGGCCAGACACCUACGGGUGGCAGCAGUAGGGAAUCUUGGACAAUAGGCGAAAGCCUGAUCCAGCAAUGCCGCGUGCACGAUGAAGGUCUUCGGAUUGUAAAGUGCUUUUAGAAGGGAUGAGUAAGGACAGUACCUUCUGAAUAAGCCUCGGCGAACUACGUGCCAGCAGCCGCGGUAAGACGUAGGAGGCAAGCGUUAUCCGGAUUUAUUGGGCGUAAAGCGCGUGCAGGCGGUUUGGUAAGUUGGAUGUGAAAUCUCUUGGCUUAACCGGGAGAGGUCGUUCAAAACUGCCAGACUAGAGAGUGGUAGAGGAAGGUGGAAUUCCGGGUGUAGUGGUGAAAUGCGUAGAUAUCCGGAGGAACACCAGUGGCGAAAGCGGCCUUCUGGACCAUUUCUGACGCUAAGAUGCGAAAGCUAGGGUAGUAAACGGGAUUAGAGACCCCGGUAAUCCUAGCCGUAAACUAUGUAGACUUGGCGUUGGCGGAGUUAAAUCUGCCAGUGCCGUAGCUAACGCGAUAA